CACGCGUCUAGUCGGCCACGGUCUCUCCCUCAGAGACGCGCGCCUGGGCCUGACGCGUCUCCGGAAUGUCCAGCAACAAUUUGUCAAACAAAUUUCUGCAAACGUUGUUGCUGGACAUUCUGUUGCUUACACCCAGAUAAAACCUCACGUGCCGCAAUAUAAUUAAUAAGGUUACUCUUAACCUUACAAGCAGUACUCAACAUCCGCCUGGAACACAGAAGUUCCUCCAGCAGCCAGUAGAGACGCAGUGAAGUAAUACUCGUCCUCGAGUAACCAACGCACUCUACUGGGAAACGAUCCGGCGACCUACUGCUCAUUUAUUGUUAGUUUUGAAUCGGCCCAAAAUACUGCUAACAUUACAAAUAUUUUCAUUGAAAUGAUUCUUGAUUUUGUGUUCUGAAUUGUAUUUGUGUGGUGUCAGCAGUAUUCGUGCAUUCUACUCCUGUUUAAUUUAUUCCCGGACUGCAGCGACAUUAUGUGAAUAACACUAGUCCUGGAAGUUGGCUUUAGGAAUGGAAACUACUAAAUGUGGAAGUAAAUAGCUUUAUUGCUCCACCGGGGCAAUCCUUGGGCGCUCGGUCCACACCGAAUGCACGCCCUUGCAGUGGGAGAUGUUUGCUGCGGCCCUAGGCACAGUUCAGUGUGUAUUUAUUCCUCUUGGUUGUAAAUUCACAUUGAGGCCUAUAAGGGCUCGCGGACAUUUUCCUUCUUUCUCCUCUCUACUCAUCCUAUAGAAGGCUUUUGUCCUUCCCCCACCCCCCCUACCCAGAUUCCCUUUCAACUCUUCUUCCAACGUCCCCCAUCUGUGCAUCACAAUUUGCACCAUUGCGAGCUACGUAACAAUAUUAAUUUAAUGGAAUAAUAUUAUUUGCACACCGUCUCUGUAGAAUUAUUAUCGACUUGAGUAGAUGAUUAAUAUAUGAAAUGUUCCGACAGAGCACCGGAUUUUGCUUCUUAAUGUAUAACCGCGUAACAAUAAUGUAAUCAUAUAGAAAAAUAAAUGCUUCAGGUAAA